AGAGUUUGAUCCUGGCUCAGAACGAACGCUGGCGGCGCGCCUAACACAUGCAAGUCGAACGGGGAGUUCCGGCUUCGGCUGGGACUUUCAGUGGCGGACGGGUGAGUAACGCGUGGGAACCUGCCCCAAGGUACGGAACAACCCAGGGAAACUUGGGCUAAUGCCGUAUACACCCUACGGGGGAAAGAUUUAUCGCCUUGGGAUGGGCCCGCGUCCGAUUAGCUUGUUGGUGGGGUAAUGGCCUACCAAGGCUGCGAUCGGUAGCUGGUCUGAGAGGACGAUCAGCCACACUGGGACUGAGACACGGCCCAGACUCCUACGGGAGGCAGCAGUGGGGAAUCUUGGACAAUGGGCGAAAGCCUGAUCCAGCGACGCCGCGUGGGUGACGAAGGCCCUAGGGUUGUAAAGCCCUUUCGCCGGGGACGAUGAUGACGGUACCCGGAGAAGAAGCACCGGCUAACUCCGUGCCAGCAGCCGCGGUAAUAC
rnacentral:rRNA from 1 species